rnacentral:lncRNA from 1 species
AUUCCUGCUGACCUCAAGACACACUUGGUGCUUGCAGUGCUGAUACCUGCUCUUUGCCGGCCUGGGCCUCCUGCCAGAAGAGAUCCUGACCCCCACACUCUACCAUGGCUACUAUGUCCGGCCUCGGGCCGCCCCAGCUGGGGAGGGCAGCAGGGCAGGGGCCUCCGAGCUUAGGCUCAGUGAGGGCAAGUUCCAGGCAUUUCUGGAUGUGAGCCACUUUACCCCAGACGAGGUGACUGUGAGGACUGUGGAUAACCUGCUGGAGGUGUCUGCCCGGCACCCCCAGCGCCUGGACCGCCACGGCUUCGUGUCCCGAGAGUUCUGCCGCACCUAUGUCCUGCCUGCUGAUGUCGACCCCUGGCGAGUCCGAGCUGCUCUCUCCCAUGAUGGCAUCUUAAACCUGGAAGCACCUCGGGGUGGCCGACAUUUGGACACAGAGGUCAAUGAGGUCUACAUCUCCCUGCUCCCUGCGCCUCCUGAUCCAGAGGAAGAGGAGGAGGCAGCCAUAGUUGAGCCCUGAUUGCCACAGACCCAGCACCCAGCAAAUCCCUCUCUACCUCCCAAGGAGCUGCCCAUCAACUUUCCAGAAGAAAAAGAAAACAGGAAGCCAAACAAGACGGACACUGAAGCCGCAGCCACAACAGCUGCAGCAGAAUCUCCCAAAGGGCCAUGAAACAACAGGACAUACGUAUGAACGGGUGUUACAGCAGCAAGGGUCUCAAGAGAGGAGUCCAGGCCUCAUGUCGGAAGACAGCAACUUACAUUAUGCUGACAUUCAAGUGUGCAGCCGUCCCCAUGCCCGGGAAGUGAAACACGUGCAUUUAGAAAACGCUACAGAGUAUGCGACCCUUCGCUUCCCCCAGGCCACACCUCGCUAUGACAGCAAGAACGGGACCCUGGUGUGAGCGCUUGGGAGGAAGGCCCAGUCCAUCGUUAACCACUACACCUGUGGGGGAGAACCUACUGCUUUGGGGAAUUGGGUGGCAACCCAGGGAUGUUGUCCACGUUUUAAGCUUAAAGAACUCCAAAGCCCCUGGAAUUGUGGGCGUCCCAUUUUCUCCCCUGGCCUCUUACUUGCCACUGUUAGGUUGGAGUUAAUAGUUGGUUUAGCUAUGGGUGGAUAGCUAAACUUAGCUAUCCACAUGAGGUUAGGUGGAGUGUGCAGGGAGGUAGGUCUUCGACCCCACCAUUGUUGCUCCUGCUCUUGCAAAGUGCAGAAAGAGCAGGUAAAAAGUUAGCCCAUAAGCACGUGGGCUGAUCUUGUUGGACUUUAAUUAAUGGUAUCCUUUUUCACACACCUUAAACUCCAAAGCUGAAGGGGAGGUGCUCCGGAAAAGCAUUCUGAGCUUUUACAUUCAGACACUAGGGCUGGCUUGGGCCAUUUCCUCAGUGGCUGAGUCAGGUUCCAGACCUUAACAGACAAAUGGGGGAAGGGGGCUGAGGCGUGGAGGAAACGCUUUCAGGACCUCAAGUCAGUGAUAACCGACAGCACAGUGAGGCCUGGAAACUUCCCUCGGAGGGACUGUUGGCUCUCGCAGGUGCGGGGCCGCUAGGAUCAAUAAACGGCCUGAGAAACAUGCCUGGCGCGUUUUCUGGGGCGGGGCCCCGAAGCUCCUUGCGAGGACAGCGGAUCCCGCCCAGUUUUAAGGGCGGUUCGAAAGUCCAGCCAGUAGACAGGCCUUCCGGCCCCACCCCCAGGCCGCGGCUGGAGGCGGAGCUGGAGGGGGGUGGGGUUUAG